rnacentral:rRNA from 1 species
UACGUAGGCGGAAUAUUAAGUCAGUGGUGAAAUCCUGCAGCUUAACUGUAGAAUCGCCAUUGAUACUGAUCUUCUUGAAUUUAGUUGAGGUGGGCGGAAUGUGUAAUGUAGCGGUGAAAUGCUUAGAUAUUACACAGAACACCGAUUGCGAAGGCAGCUCACUAAACUAACAUUGACGCUAAGGUACGAAAGCGUGGGGAGCGAACAGGAUUAGAUACCCUGGUAGUCC